GUGACUUAGAAAAAUAUCAUCGAAAAUGAUUAAAUAAAAAUCUACAGAGCCUUCACAAAGACCAAUAAAUUUUUAAAAUACAGCAUAUCAGUUGGCAAUGCAAUUAAAAACCAUUACGUUGCAUAACAAUAAACACACAACUGAGAAAUUUUCAUAUACUCCGUAAUCUCCAACGGAAUAGUUCUAAGUUCUAAGUAUUAUUGAUUCGUUCGAAACAUUAAAUUGGUCUCUGAAACAAACAUCUCCAUAAAGAAUAUAUGACCCCAUCAACUUACAAUAAUGACAUAGGAAUCAUCAAAGGGAUGGAUCUAUGGAGAACACUCAAACCAAAGAUUAGUAUCAACAUCUGACAUUGGGGCAAAUCCUUUGAAUUUAUAGGGAUUAUAUUAAUAUA